rnacentral:rRNA from 1 species
GACAGAGGGUGCAAACGUUGUUCGGAAUUACUGGGCGUAAAGCGCGUGUAGGCGGCCCUGCAAGUCGGAUGUGAAAUCCCACGGCUCAACCGUGGAAGUGCAUUCGAAACUGCAGGGCUAGAGUCCUGGAGAGGAAGGUGGAAUGCUUGGUGUAGAGGUGAAAUUCGUAGAUAUCGGGGAGGAACACAGUGGCGAAGGCGGCGACCUGGGCCAAUACUGACACUGAGGUGCGAAAGGCGUGGGGAGCAAACGAGG